UGGCCCAUUGUGGGCCAAGGGAUCCUCCGCCUGGCGUCCCUGUGGUUUGUAGUUCUGCAUCUGCUCCGCUGGCAUUGUCUCUGCUAACGGCCAUACUGCUCAGGAAGCCAGAGCCAGGAGGCAAAUGAAGGGACUGCAUUGAUACCGCUGAUCACUGAGCCCCACAUAACUGGCAACUGUUUCUGUCUUUUACCUCUGGAGAUGAGUUGGACAGAUUGUGUAAAAUUCGAUGGCUCCCAAAGAAGUGGGGUAGGGGAAGAGAGUGGAACACCUUACUGCCUCAGCCCUCUAGCUACCCAGCACCCAGGGCUCUGUCAGAGUAACGUCCUCAGCACAGAAAGUAAAAGUGAAACAUCUGUGGGAGAGAGCAAAUCCACCGAUUUUAGGGAAUGUCUGCACAAAAGGAUGAGAAACUAAACACACUGUGCCCUUUUCUCUGUGGACAGAUGCUACAGGCUCAGAUCCUACUGCAGAGCCUUCCACUUCCUGGCUUUGGCUCUCCUAUGGCAAGAGAGCAGGCAAAGCCUUGCACCCUAUGCUUGAGAGAGUGCUCUGCUCGGACACAGGGGCAUCAGUGCCAGGAAGAGAGAGGCUGAGGAUGUGGGACAGUUAUCACAGACACCAUUCUCCCUUGCUCAGGAGCAUCUCAUUGCACAGGAUAUGGGCCACAGUCAUAAGGUGAGAUGAUUCAUCAUCUCUACCCAGAAAAAAUAGCCUGAGGAAGCUGACUGAUGGGGUUUGCUCCAUUUUGUCCAUCUUCCAACCAAGACAGUAAAGCAUACCUCCCUCGCUGCAUUCUGCCACCUUUCCACAUGCAUUAGCAGCUCUGCUGAUGUUUGCCAUGUGUUUGAGCAUGCAGGUGAAUUGCAUGUAAGUAGAUGUUUGCCCAUCCUUGCCUGGAUUUGAGGAGCAUUAUGACAAAAUAAGCCUCUAAUACAGAAUAAAUUUUGAUGCAAAUAGUUCCUAUCUGAAUUUUAAGACAAGGUGAGCCCCUACCAUAUCAUCCUGAUGGUUCCCUCCAGUGGAUCAGGUUCAGACAGACGUUAUAUGGUCCACACACCCUGUUAAUGUCUUUCUCCCUCUCUUUCUUCUUUCUUUCCUUGCCUCCCCCUCACUCCUUCUCCCCCCCAUUACACAGUCAGGCUGGGAUCAAAUUCAGCUUACUUGAAUGUAUAUCAUUUCCAAGUUGAAGUCUAAUCUGCAGCCACGUCCCCAGUGAGAUACUCAAUUUACCACUCCUGUAACUAAAGCUCAUUGUUACGGCUGUAAUAAUCUAAUGUCUCAUUUUCCUGCUUAUGGCCAACGUUUUGCAUUUUUAGGAAGUUUUCUAUGAAAUGCUUCUCUUUGCUAAGUCACACAUAGGCUUCCUGCUCCCUUCAACCCUUCUUGUCCUUCUGUCCCAUUCAUCACACCAAUGUGGAUUGAAAGAAAGAAAGGGAGGGAGAAAGGGAGAAAAGGAGAAAGAGAGGAAGAAAGGGAGAAAAGAAGAAAGAGAGAGAGAAAGAAAGGAAGGAAGAAAGAAAGGAGAGGAAGAAAGAGAGAAAGAAAGAAGGAAGGAAAGGGAGAAGGAAGGAAAGAAUGAGAAAGAAAAAGAGGAAGAAAGAGAGAAAGAAAAGAAAUUUUAUUUCCCCUUGGAAGAACCAAAACUGUUCAUGUCUAUAAAAGAACAACAGAGUGAUUAGGGGCCUACAGAUCAAUGUUCUCCAGAUCAGCACUUAAAUGGAAAUCACUUUGCAUGAAAAAUUCACGAUGCCCUCUAUCCUUCCCAUGGAUAAUGGGGACAUCUGGUUACAGGAGAAGGAAUCAUUUUACCUACGUACAUAUAUGAGAUCCAGGCUUGUGUGCUUUCCAUGUAAUUCAUACAAUGACUGACAUUGCCUAAAUUAGUUAUCCUGUCACUAUUUUGAGCAGUCUAAUACAGCUUGCUCAGAUGAGUCCAAGCCCCCAAUAUCAGCCUCACAAGAGGCAGGAUAGUAGGCUAGAUAUGAUCACUUCUGAGAUCCCAUAAUGAUUACCUGCUGAUAGUUUUUAACAUUUGAAAAGUACUGAUUAAAGAGUCAGUGCCAGUC